CGCCACAGCCAUAUCCCCUUGCAGCCCAUGACCGGUUACUCACUGAAGCUAAGAAGGGAUGAGCCUUGUCAGUACCUGGAUGGCAGACAACAUGAGAAAACCAGGUUACUGUUGGAA
rnacentral:rRNA from 1 species